rnacentral:rRNA from 1 species
UACGGGGGGGGCAAGCGUUGUCCGGAAUCAUUGGGCGUAAAGAGCGUGUAGGCGGCCCGGUAAGUCCGCUGUGAAAGUCCAGGGCUCAACCCUGGGAUGCCGGUGGAUACUGUCGGGCUCGAGUCCGGAAGAGGCGAGUGGAAUUCCUGGUGUAGCGGUGAAAUGCGCAGAUAUCAGGAGGAACACCAAUGGCGAAGGCAGCUCGCUGGGACGUGACUGACGCUGAGACGCGAAAGCGUGGGGAGCAAACAGG